AGUAGAUGGGGAGCAACCUAGUUGUGCGUGUGUAAAGGUAGUGCCAAGAAAAGCGGUGAUCAUGAUGAAAAUCAAUUCCCGGUACCCGAAACCGACACAGGUGGGCAAGUAGAGAAUACUAAGGGGCGCGAGGUAACUCUCUCCAAGGAACUCGGCAAAAUGACCCCGUAACUUAGGGAGAAGGGGUGCCACCGAGAGGUGGUCGCAGUGAAGAGGCCCAGGCGACUGUUUAGCAAAAACAUAGGUCUCUGCAAACUCGAAAGAGGAGGUAUAGGGGCUGACGCCUGCCCAGUGCCGGAAGGCUAAAGAAGUUGGUCAGUCUUAGGAUGAAGCUAGCGACUGAAGCCCCGGUGAACGGCGGCCGUAACUAUAACGGUCCUAAGGUAGCGAAAUUCCUUGUCGGGUAAGUUCCGACCCGCACGAAAGGCGUAACGAUCUGGGCGCUGUCUCGGAGAGAGGCUCGGCGAAAUAGGAUUGUCUGUGAAGAUACGGACUACCUGCAUUUGGACAGAAAGACCCUAUGAAGCUUUACUAUAGCUUGGAAUUGUGUUCGGGCUUCCUGUGCGCAGGAUAGGUGGGAGGCGUAGAAGGUAUUCUUGUGGGGAUACUGGAGCCAACGGUGAGAUACCACUCUCAGGAGGCUAGAAUUCUAACAUAAUUAAGGACAGUUUCAGGUGGGUAGUUUGACUGGGGCGGUCGCCUCCAAAAAGGUAACGGAGGCGUACAAAGGUUCCCUCAGACUGGUUGGAAAUCAGUCGCAGAGUGCAAAGGCAGAAGGGAGCUUGACUGCGAGAAGUACAGUUCGAGCAGGGUGGAAACACGGUCUUAGUGAUCCGACGGUGCUGUGUGGAAGGGCCGUCGCUCAACGGAUAAAAGUUACUCUAGGAUAACAGGCUGAUCUCCCCCAAGAGUUCACAUCGACGGGGAGGUUUGGCACCUCGAUGUCGGCUCAUCGCAACCUGGGGCGGAAGUACGUCCCAAGGGUUGGGCUGUUCGCCCAUUAAAGCGGUACGUGAGCUGGGUCCAGAACGUCGUGAGACAGUUCGGUCCAUAUCCGAUGUAGGCGUGAGAAUAUUGAGAGGAGCCUUCCUUAGUACGAGAGGACCGGGAAGGACGCACCGCUGGUGUACCUGUUAUGAUGCCAAUUGUAAACGCAGGGUAGCCAAGUGCGGAGAGGAUAACCGCUGAAAGCAUCUAAGUGGGAAGCCCACCUCAAGAUGAGUAUUCUGGUGUAAGGUCACGGGAAGACGACCCGUAAAUAGGCACGAGGUGGAAGUGCAGAGAUGUAUGAAGCCGAAGUGUACUAAUAGACCGUCGGCUUGACCU
rnacentral:rRNA from 1 species